rnacentral:lncRNA from 1 species
UCUGACCCGUUGGGCCGGGCCAGGUCGCGGACAACGUCGACCGUUUGUUUAAGAAGCGUGGACUCUUGUCCUGAGUGCACCGAGGCUUUCAGCCUGCGGGACAGUGGUGCGAUUUGCAUUAGAGCCUAUCUCCCAGGACUAUGGAAGCCCCAUGCAGGAACAUGGUUCUGACACUUUGGGGAUUAUACCCUAAGCUUAAAGGACUGGAAAAGCCCCUGAAGUCCCGAGACCACAACCCUCCACCUUCUAAAGAUAAGACAAGUCACUGAAGGU